CAGUCGCCACGGUAAUACGUAGGUGGCAAGCGUUGUCCGGAUUUAUUGGGCGUAAAGCGAGCGCAGGCGGUUCCUUAAGUCUGAUGUGAAAGCCCCCGGCUCAACCGGGGAGGGUCAUUGGAAACUGGGGAACUUGAGUGCAGAAGAGGAGAGUGGAAUUCCAUGUGUAGCGGUGAAAUGCGUAGAUAUAUGGAGGAACACCAGUGGCGAAGGCGACUCUCUGGUCUGUAACUGACGCUGAGGCUCGAAAGCGUGGGUAGCAAACAGGAUUAGAUACCCCCGUAGUCCCUGUCUCUUAUAC
rnacentral:rRNA from 1 species